AACGUCUAAUACUAAAUAAUCUCUCCCGAGGACAUUAAAAAAAUAACAAAAGUCUCAAACUCCAAAUUACACGUUCAUAACAGAAAUAAACUAAAUAGAAACAUGAGUCUAUUCCUCCUCUUAUUCAAAUGGUAAACGGAAACAGAAAAUUACUAACUCCAAAGCUAAGUGCACCUCUCAAAAGAAACUUAAUCUGCAAAAAGUAAUGACGAGGGGUGAGCCGUCAACUCGGUAAGUAAAACUAUUCCUAACACACUAGGCUUAUCGCUACCAAAAAUAUUGCAAGCCUUCUUUUAAUUAAAACAUAUAUCAUAAUCCAUAAAUUUCAUAAAACGAUAUAUCACUAUAAAAUAAUUUAAAUUCAUUGUAACUCAUAAUAUCAAAAGCAUAGUUACUUACAAAAGCAAAUCAUAUAUCACAUUCAUAGAAAACAAAAGGUUAGCUCAUAUCACAUAGUGUCACCUAUAGUCCUGGUGACCCGGACAGAAAUAGAAUCAGAAUAUCGUGUGCACACUCAAAACAAAAACCCAGUACUGGUCCAGAACAGACAUAUAUCGUAUUAUACGAUCAGAAUCAGAAUUAGAAUAACUACGGACAAUGAGCCAAAACAUAAUGACUUAUACGUGGCACUUUGCGAUGCUUUGGCUUUCAAGAGGUGGCCCCCGUACAAUCAUAAAUAAUUGAUAUCAUACUUAGGUACAAAACAUUCGUAUCAGUUUCAUGAAAGUCCAUAACCACAAUUUAGGCUUGCAAAUAUUUCAUAGACAAAAUUAUAAAAGGUAGUCAUGUCAUAAAAUAACUUACAUAUUUAAAAGCCUUUACAAAAUAAUUUAUUAAAAAGAAUUUAGGUUUGAAAACAUUUACACAAACUGAUUUUGUUAUGAAAAUCCAUUAAUCUUCUAAGUAGUAAAAAAAUUCGUAUACUUAUAAUAAUAUCAAAAUAAUCAUAUAUAUAUAUAUAUAUAUAUAUAUCCAGUACAUUAGGAAUGAAGUUACUUACCUCGACAAAAGAAUUUGAAUUAACACCCCUCUAACCCUCUAAGAGUUUCAAUCACCUCCAACACCUUAAACAAAUACAAGAUAUGACAAUUAAUAACUUAUUCUAAGAACUUGAUUUUUCUAAUUCGUACCCGUACAGGUCUGAUGCUCAGAGUUUUAACUCUUAAUCUAAAACUCAUAAUAACAUAAUAUUUU
rnacentral:lncRNA from 1 species